AAGGGAGGCGGUUCGACCUCUCACUGUAGGCCCCUAGGGCCACCUUCCCAGAUUCUCACAGGCCGAAUGUUACCAUGCAGUUGCUUUGCUUAAAUAACAGUUGAAAUAAAGUCAUACACUUACUGAAUUGCUCCGGGUUGCAGCAGACCAGACAACCCCAACCUCUGAAGCCGAACUUGAUAUCUGAAAGCCAAUGAAUAUGUCUGGCCUUGGGGAAGCCAAGAUCAUCAAUUGCAAAUAGAAAAUAAAGUAUUAUUUGUUCUUCUUCCAUGGUUUUAAUAAAUUGCAUCUCCACAAUGAGUUUCUUGUGGUUUGUAUGUGUUGGGGUGCUGUUAGGAUACAGAUUUUUUUUAU
rnacentral:sRNA from 1 species